UACAGAGGGGGCCAGCGUUAUUCGGAAUUAUUGGGCGUAAAGAGCUCGUAGGCGGCUUGUUGCGUCGGUUGUGAAAGCCCGGGGCUUAACCCCGGGUCUGCAGUCGAUACGGGCAGGCUAGAGUGUGGUAGGGGAGAUCGGAAUUCCUGGUGUAGCGGUGAAAUGCGCAGAUAUCAGGAGGAACACCGGUGGCGAAGGCGGAUCUCUGGGCCAUUACUGACGCUGAGGAGCGAAAGCGUGGGGAGCGAACAGG
rnacentral:rRNA from 1 species